AAAAAAAACAACAACAAAAAAUCACAAGCUGAGCUUAAGAGAAACAAACAUAUAAUGUCUUGCAAAAAUAAUUCCCUUUUCCUUUUCACAGUUUGUCUCAUUAUAAACACAAAUGGCGGCGUUUAGGAACAAAGAGGAGCUUAAUUAUAAAUCAUAAGGAGAAUGAUGCAAUGAUUUCAACAUAUUUUACAAAUAUAUGUGAAAUUUCAAAGGGAAUUUAUAAUCAGCCACCCUGAGUCAAUACUUUGCAGAAUCAAAUUUAGUCUUUAAACUUUUUACAUCUUUAGAUUAAUGCCUCCUGCCCUUUAUUGUACAUAAAAAACAGGGCUGGGACUUUACCGUGUUAAUUUUGAUUAUUACAUAGAUUUUAACACAUUAAAAAUGUCAAUUUCUUUGUCACAAGUAUUUAUUUUUUUCCAGGGGAAACCUUCGUAUUUGCUCGUUUCUGAUACGCCUGUAAAUUUGAUGCAGAAGAGAAAUCUGGAAAUGUCAGAGCCGACAGCCCACAUUACUAAAGUUUUCUUUUUUUAAAAAAAAAGCUGCCCAAAUGAUCGGGGAUUUCUGAAAUACUCAUUGAAUAGCAGAUUAAAAUCUAUAAAUAUCUUUGUUGUUCAUGUAUAUAAAAGCAAUUAAUUGCACUUAAUUACAGAACCUGUGAUUAACUACUAAAAAUAAAGUCCCACCACUAAUAAAAACACCUCAAGUUCAGUCAGAUUGGGUGGAGAGCUUGAACAACAAUAUCAAAGUCCUGCCAUGGAUUCUUAUUAAGAUUUAGAUCUAGAGUUUGACCAUUUUAACAUAUAAAAAUGUUUUUGAUCUAAACACUUCUAUUGCUGUAUAUCGAGUGUCGUUCUGCUGGAAGCUCAAGUCGUUAGCAGCCUCUAACAGGUUUUCCUCCAGGAUUUUCCUGGACUUAACUCCAUCCAUCUUCCUAUUAACUGUGACCCGCUUCCCUGUCUCUGCAGAAGAAAAGCAUCCCGACAGCACAAUGCUGCCAACAGUGUUUCACCUUGAGAAUCGUGUGUUUAUGGUGACGAGAAAGGCCGCACAAGGCAUUCGGCAUGUUGUCCAAAAAGCCGGGCAAACGCUCUGAACUGGGUCCAAUCAAACUUUUGACGUUGCGUAUCAAACACGACUCCAAAGGUGGACACAACACGGUAGAAGUCUGCCUCCUCACGACGCGUCCACCUGAAAAAAGAUAAAAACAAAUACCCAUAAGGGAUCCAUCAGACAUCAGGGAGUUGGCCGUCAUCACUGGCGAAGCCUCUGGCAGAAACUGACUACCUUUGGCAAAAUAAGCGCUUCCUUUAGCCAAAUAUGGGCUUCCGUCUG